UGUCUUAUUUGGCCCGAUUGGGGUUUGAUGGGAUACUGCCAGUUUUCGAAUCAAUCUCGGCAGACGGAUUUCAUACAGUGUGUGGCCCGAUACUUCAGGAACGAACAAUGAUCAGUAUGGCGGCUGUUGGCGGCAAAAAUUAAACAUUUAGCGACAGCCGGACGCUAAACGUACAUGGCCCAAUUUUGUAAAGUGACUGUCGGCCCAUUACAUGUGGAAGAGCCACGAGCAGAGCAACUGUUCAGUUUGAAACCAGGACGGCGCGAAACUGUCUCGUUUUGGACACUGCCUGUGAAUCCAGGCCACACUGACCAGAGACCUGCACUCCUUUGGAUGAAGAAGGCUACCCGUGUAUACAUGUCUGAACCAUUUCUUGUGUUGGAAAAACAGGAGACCUGAAGAGCUCUUGAUGCUUUUGGUUUGCCUCAUCUAUUAUGUCAGCAAAGAACAGGAGUGGGCAGGAAACAUGCGCUGUUGAAAACAUGGCCAACCAUCUGGAGCACCCACAAGGCUCUUGUGAAGGAAGUCCACAAGCCUUUGUGCUUCAGGUCUAAGGCUCUUGUGAAGGAAGUCCACAAGCCUUUGUGCUUCAGGAUGGAUGGAAAGAACUCUUUGAUCAACCCCCAAAGAGAGCUGAGGUGGCUAUCUUUUGGAGACACCCCCGGCUGGUAGUGCUGCUGAAACUGGUGGAGGCAACAAUGAAGCGGCAACAGAAAGAGAAGGCAGGUGGCAAAGGUUGCUGCUAUUGAAAAAUACUUUGAGAGUGAGUAUGUGUGCAUGUAUGUAGCUGGGUAGGUCAUGGUACAUGGUACAAAAAUACAGAAU